rnacentral:tRNA from 1 species
UGAUAAAGAAGGGAAUUGAACCAAUGUAAGUAGGACUACAGCCUACCGCCUAACACUCGGCCACUUUACCU